UUUCCGUAGGUGAACCUGCGGAAGGAUCAUUGUCGAAACCUGCCCAGCAGAACGACCCGCGAACUUGUAUAAACAACUGGGGGCGGGGGGCGUUCUCGCCCCGUGCCCCCGAACGGCGGGGAGACACUCGUGCCUUCUUGCCGAGCAACGAACCCCGGCGCGGUCUGCGCCAAGGAACUUCAACUAAAGAGUGCCUCCGGUCGCCUCGGAAACGGCGUGCGUGCCGGAGGCGAAUCUUGUGCAAAACCAUAACGACUCUCGGCAACGGAUAUCUCGGCUCUC
rnacentral:misc_RNA from 1 species